AUUAUUCUUCUUGUGCACUAUAUACUGUUUUGGUAAGCUAUUCCAAAAUUGCCCUUUAGUUUUCCAUGUCAGCAGCCAUGGGUCUCCAUGUCAACAACACCACGUAAUUUUUUUCCUUAACGGUGGAGGAACAUCGUAUCUUUCCUCACGUUUUCUCUGUACUUUCUCUCUUUCAUCAUCUUUGUCCAGUCCUCACGUCGGCAACACUGUUGCCGAUCUAUCUCCGUCGACGGGAGGCUACUCUACUGCAAACACAACUUUCCCCUCUAAUAAACUACUAAACGGACGACGCAAAGGACAAAGAAAAAGGGAUCAAGCCACCCUCCAAAACGGUGUCAUUUGGACCAUCACUGCUCGUUCGCCCUAUACCUAGCGGACCAAACUCUCCGGCAAAGCUCAGGUGGAUCUCUGGAAAGAUGAAACAGCUUUUGAGGAAGUUUUCAAGAAAGAUCAACCUUAAGGAACUGUUAGCACCUUCAACCACUGGAGCGGUAUCCAGUUAGAGCUUGUGGCCCACUCUUCUUUGAAGUUUCAAGUUACUUUCCUUCUCUGACAUAUGUUGACCAGAUUCAGUAGCUUUGGAUGCAUUUUGCUCUGGGUUCGCCCAGAUAUUCUCCUGUUGUGGCCCAUUGAUUUCUUCUCUGGAUGUUAGGCAAAUAAUGGCUAAGUUGGCAUUUUGAAAAUAAGCUAAUAGUCUCAUAUAUCAAUUUAAUCAGAAUGGUGCCAUUUGUGUCAUGAAUUUGAUGUUUAAACAAUAAUUGAAUGGAUGUUUGAUGCUGAGCUAAAGUUCCUU